UACGGAGGGUGCAAGCGUUGUCCGGAUUUAUUGGGUUUAAAGGGUGCGUAGGCGGCCUGGUAAGUCGGCGGUGAAAGCCCGGGGCUCAACCCCGGAACUGCAUUCGAUACUGCCGUGCUUGAGGACUGGAGAGGAGACUGGAAUUUACGGUGUAGCGGUGAAAUGCGUAGAUAUCGUAAGGAAGACCAGUGGCGAAGGCGGGUCUCUGGACAGUUCCUGACGCUGAGGCACGAAGGUCAGGGGAGCAAACGGG
rnacentral:rRNA from 1 species